rnacentral:rRNA from 1 species
UAACUGAAGAGUUUGAUCAUGGCUCAGAUUGAACGCUGGCGGCAGGCCUAACACAUGCAAGUCGAGCGGAAACGAUGGUAGCUUGCUACCAGGCGUCGAGCGGCGGACGGGUGAGUAACGCGUGAGAAUCUGCCCAUUUGUGGGGGAUAACUCGGGGAAACUCGAGCUAAUACCGCAUAAUCCCUACGGGGGAAAGCAGGGGACCUUCGGGCCUUGUGCAGAUGGAUGAGCUCGCGUCGGAUUAGCUUGUUGGUGAGGUAAAGGCUCACCAAGGCGACGAUCCGUAGCUGGUCUGAGAGGAUGAUCAGCCACACCGGGACUGAGACACGGCCCGGACUCCUACGGGAGGCAGCAGUGGGGAAUCUUGGACAAUGGGGGCAACCCUGAUCCAGCCAUGCCGCGUGUGUGAAGAAGGCCUUCGGGUUGUAAAGCACUUUCAGUAGGGAGGAAGGCUUACCGCUAAUAACGGUGAGUACUUGACGUUACCUACAGAAGAAGCACCGGCUAAUUUCGUGCCAGCAGCCGCGGUAAUACGAAAGGUGCGAGCGUUAAUCGGAAUUACUGGGCGUAAAGCGCGCGUAGGCGGUUUGUUAAGUCAGAUGUGAAAGCCCCGGGCUCAACCUGGGAAUUGCAUUUGAAACUGGCAGGCUAGAGUGCAGUAGAGGGAGGUGGAAUUUCCGGUGUAGCGGUGAAAUGCGUAGAGAUCGGAAGGAACACCAGUGGCGAAGGCGGCCUCCUGGACUGACACUGACGCUGAGGUGCGAAAGCGUGGGGAGCAAACAGGAUUA